CUGGGUAACUGACUCGGAGGGUACUGUGGUCACUUUCUAGAGUGCUCAGCUAGACAUAAACCCUUCCUUGGGAACCCCUCCUGCCCCCUGCAGCUACAGCCACCACUGGAGGGGGCCUCUGUGGCCAUAUAUGCUUCCCCUCACUGAUCAGAUUACCGGACACCUGACCCAAGACGGGCAGCAAUCAGAUUCUCCUGGAAAAUCUGAAGAUGGGACCCACAAUUAGAGUUGGUCAGCUGUGGGAAGCUGAGCUGAAAAGUCACGUAAAAUUGAGGCCAAAGCUGGCACCUUGUCAGACAAAGGAAAGCACAUGCUGACGUUACAGGGGAACACGAACCAUGUGGAGCCAGGGAAGCCAACCUGCAGAGAAUAGGAUGGAGCAGAUACACAGAAGCAGAUCGAUGGCAAAGACCAUGUGGCUCCUGAGAGAAAGAGGGAAGAAGGGCCAGUCCCUGGGAGGUCUGUCCUUCCUGCCUUUGAGCCAACUUGGGUGGAUUUCUCCUUCUUACAACUGAAAGAGCCUUGAGCAGGACAGAGCCAAAGCAAUGCUGACCACCUUUUCAUGUACCUGUUGACCACUUGGAUGUCCUUCUCCAGCGGCUCCAGAGUUUUCACCUGCAAAUGGCCAUGGCAGAGACCCUCAACUGUGACCAGCCAAGUCAAAAACUUUCUCAUGAGCCUGGGACUGAACAUCCACAGGGUAGUCUAAGAUGUGACUAAGUCAAGUACAAUGGCCAUUUGCAGUAAUUCCUGAGAAAUAGCUCACCUGAAUCUAGAGCAAAAAAAGGAACCUCACCCCACAAGUAAGAAACCCCAGAACCUGAACAAGAAUUUGGAAAUCAAAUCUCUAAGGCAAAUCAACUGGGGCAGAAUCCACGAUCAACUCUUUCUGAUUCAGAAGAGAUAACUCGGGCUGGCUCCGUGGCCGAGCGGUUAAGUUUGCGCGCUCCACUUCGGCAGCCCAAGGUUUCACCGGUUCGAAUCCUGGGCGCAGACAUGGCACAGCUCAUGAGGCCAUGCUGAGGAGGCAUCCCACAUGCCACAACUAGAACCCACAACUAAAAAUACACACCUAUGCACCGGGGGGCUUUGGGGAGAAAAAGAGAAAAUAAAAUCUUAAAAAAAAAAUAAAGAUAACUUGAGAUUUUGCUACCCUUCAGUGAGGAAAAGUCAAGCAUGAGAGUUAUAUGUCAAUUAUAACUCAAUAAUAAAAACAAGAAAAACAAAGAAACAAACAUGAGAGACUCUGGGCAGGUGAACUGCAGCUGUGGGCAAUCAGCAGCAUAGCACCCAUUAUGUAACACGUAAUAGUAACUAAGAGUCUGCACUCCAGAGGGCUAUCCUGGGAUUUGAAUCCGGCUCUGACCCUGACUACUGUAUGACCUUGGUCAGGUUCUUCAACCUCUCAAUGCCUGAGAUUCUACAUCUAUAAAACAAAGGUAACAAGAGAACACAUGCUGUAGGAUUGUUGUGAGGAUUAAUUGAGUUAUAUGAGAGGAGUUAAUGCUUAGGACAGCGUCUAGCACGUAAUAAGGAUCCAACAAAAACAAGCUAUUUUUCUUCCUGCUUAUUUAGUAACGUAGGCAGAGAGCUGAUGGUAUGUAAGGCACAUUAUCGCAAACAUCUAUCACCUCUACCCCUGGCGCCUGGCACAGAGUGGGCAUCAGUGGGUUUUCACUGAAUGAAGAAUUGCCAAUGAAUGAGCUUUUGUUCAAGGAGAGAAACCAGAAUGGCAAUUAGAAGUAAGACUUAAACGUCAAGAGGACCAGCCCAGUAAACUCUCUAAUUUAGCAUUCUAUAACAAGAUUAACAUAUCACAGGCAUCUAUUGCUAUGUAUUCAUAAUAAUGAUUCUUAGG
rnacentral:lncRNA from 1 species